UACGUAGGGUGCGAGCGUUGUCCGGAAUUACUGGGCGUAAAGAGCUCGUAGGUGGUUUGUCGCGUCGGCCGUGAAAACCUGCAGCUUAACUGUGGGCUUGCGGUCGAUACGGGCAUCACUGGAGUUCGGCAGGGGAGACUGGAAUUCCUGGUGUAGCGGUGAAAUGCGCAGAUAUCAGGAGGAACACCGGUGGCGAAGGCGGGUCUCUGGGCCGAUACUGACGCUGAGGAGCGAAAGCGUGGGGAGCGAACAGG
rnacentral:rRNA from 1 species